CAGCGUUCUCCCAGGCUGACUCCCCAGAGCAGGCACACACAGUGGGGGCUUUGUUCCAGCAGCAAGGCCUGGGGAGGGUCCGGGUCAAGGGGAGGGGACCGACAGCUUUGACAGGCAAUUAAUUACAAGAAAGUGUUUGUGAAGUCCCAGCAGGCUCCAUGGUCUUUGGGGAUACCAAGUACCUUCAACCUGGUUGAUUAGAGCAGAGGUCUAAUCAACCAGGUGUUGGAAGGCGGCGCCUCUACGAUCACAAAGUUACAGAGAACCAACACUUGUUACUUUUAACCGAAAGAGAUCCCAACUGUUGAAAAACCUCCAAUAUGUCAGCACUUCAGGAGGAGAAGCACGAAGCAGAAGAAGAAGAAGAAGAAGAAGUACAUUUCGUAACACUGCACAGCAGUUGCUGAGCUAAUUAAACAGACCGAACAUUUGGAAAAGACGGAUUUGAAAUUGCUGGAUGUUUAUUAAUUGUUUUUCUAAAUGCAAUCUUUAGCUACAUUUUGUUUCUAGCAGGAAAUAUAAAUAAAUCUUUAGCUUGGUGAUCCUUGUCAGAGUUAACUUCUCUCUUGUUAAAGGUCUCCUGUAUCCACCUUCUUCCAGAAUCAGAUCUAGGAGACUCAUUUAUUAAAGGAAAAAUAAAUAUAAAAUCACUUGCACCCAACAUUUCCCUCGUGUCCAU